AUUGAUUACGAUUAUGAAAGUAGAGUCAAAGUAUGAUUAAGAUUAAUUCGAAGAAGUAUUAUGAAAUGGAGUUUGAGAAAAGUCAAGGACUUGGGUCCAGGUUUUUAGUUUGAAAACAUGAAGAUGUUUGCACAAUAUCUAUGUCAAGUUUGAAAAGUAAUGUGUGAAAAAGUUUAGGACAUAAUGGGGAUGAAUGGAUGAAGAUGG
rnacentral:lncRNA from 1 species